GGCGCCGGCCUCUAGGGGGCGCCCACCGAGAGGUUUCCCGGUGGGCUGCCCUGCUGUAGCUGUCCGGGGAUGCUGUGCUGGACGAGCGUCUCUUUAGCCACCCCCCAGCGCAGCCACUCACCUGCUGGGCUCCCUCUGCAGCAGAUUACCUGCUUGGGCAGUGGGGUUUGCUGUAACCCGAGCAGAGCACUGUGCUUCCUGCAGGCAGGGGGAGCCUGUGAACACCGGAAGCACUGUGAAGGGAGCAGGAAGCAGGCUGUGCUCAAAGUGCAUGGCUCUCCUGCUCCCCCAGGAGAAAGAGCAACAUCCUGGAUCCUACAGCCUGGACCUCUGCUCAGCAUAGCACCCAGGUAUGGCAUGGUUAAGGGGGAUUGCUUAUUGUGUGCAUGUUUGUAAAUGGGGGAGUGUGUUAAAUUGGUGUGUUUGUGUGUGUAAAUAAAGUGUGACCUUAUGUAAAGUUUGUGUUUGAGUGACAGUGUGUGUGUUAGGGAGAGUGUGCAAGUGACUCUCUGUGUGUGUGUAUGUGUGUGUGUGUGUGUGUGUGUGUGUGUGAUAGUGAGAAUGUGCAAGUGACUCUGGGUGUGUGUGUUAGGGAGAGUGUGCAAGUGACACUGUUAGUGAGUAUGUGUUAGGCAAAGUGUACAAGUGACACUGUUAGUGAGUAUGUGUUAGGGAGAGAGUGCAAGUGACAGUUACUGAGAGUGUGCAAGUGACACUGUUAGUGAGCAUGUGUGACACUGUGUGGUGUUAGAGUGUGUAACUGACAAUGUCUAUGCCAGUGAGAGUGUGUAAGUUAGAGUGUGUGUAUAAGUGAGAGUAUGUAGGUGACACUGUGUGUGUUAGUGAGAGUGUGUAAGUGACACUGUGUAUGUUAGUGAGAGUGUGCAAGUGACAAUGUGUAGGUCAGUGAGAAUGUGUAUGUGUUAGUGUGUAAGUUAGAGUUAGAAUGUGUAAGUGUGUAUGCCAGUGAGAGAGUGUGUGUAUUAGUGAGAUUGUGUAAGUGACACUGCAAAAGUAAUUAUUGCAAUUUUUAAGAAACUUCAAUAAUUACCAUUCAGGGUUAACUCCUCAUGGGGACGUCCAGUCACGGAAAUACCACUGUGAGCGCGGCCAUUGAGGAGCUAAGGCGGACCCAAGCCAGCACAAAAGACAUUGGUGCUGGACCCAGGUAAGUGACAGAAGGUGUUUUAACCCCUGCUGCACCACGAGGGGGGAUGCGCUUGACGGAGGGGGAAGCUAUAGUGCCAGGAUAACAAGUUUGUUUUCCUGGCACUAUAGUUUCCCUUUAAUAUCUACUCAGUGCGCAUCUUUCCCUAAAUGUCUCUUUAGUGUAAUUCAGAGUUUAGUGAAUAAACUUCUGAGGGAAUGUAGUUGCAUUCAUAAGGGGGCGUCAAAAUGUAUUCUUGCCUAGGGCAGCAAGAAUCCUUGCACCGGCCCUG